GACGAACGCUGGCGGCGUGCCUAAUACAUGCAAGUCGAGCGAAGUUUUUCUGGUGCUUGCACCGGAAAAACUUAGCGGCGAACGGGUGAGUAACACGUAAAGAACCUGCCUCAUAGACUGGGACAACUAUUGGAAACGAUAGCUAAUACCGGAUAACAGCAUUAACUGCAUGGUUGAUGUUUAAAAGUUGGUUUUGCUAACACUAUGAGAUGGCUUUGCGGUGCAUUAGCUAGUUGGUGGGGUAAAGGCCUACCAAGGCGACGAUGCAUAGCCGACCUGAGAGGGUGAUCGGCCACACUGGGACUGAGACACGGCCCAGACUCCUACGGGAGGCAGCAGUAGGGAAUCUUCCGCAAUGGGCGAAAGCCUGACGGAGCAACGCCGCGUGAGUGAAGAAGGAUUUCGGUUCGUAAAGCUCUGUUGUUAGGGAAGAAUGAGUGUGCAGUAACGAUACACAGUAGAGACGGUACCUAACCAGAAAGCCACGGCUAACUACGUG
rnacentral:rRNA from 1 species